GAUAUCCGGAGGAACACCAGUGCGGAAAGCGGCCUUCUGGACCAGUCCGGACGGUCAGACGCGAAAGCCAGGGUAGCGAACGGGAUUAGAGACCCCGGCAGUCCUAGCUGUAAACGAUGUGAACUUGGCGUCGGUGGGAUUAAAUCCAUCGGUGUCGUAGCUAACGCGAUAAGUUCACCGCCUGAGGACUACGGCCGCAAGGUUAAAACUCAAAGGAAUUGACGGGGACCCGCACAAGCAGCGGAGCGUGUGGUUUAAUUCGUUGCUACACGAAGAACCUUACCUGGGUUUGACAUAUAGGUUGUAGGGAACUGAAAAGGGACCGACCCUUCGGGGAGCCUAUACAGGUGUUGCAUGGCUGUCGUCAGCUCGUGUCGUGAGAUGUUCGGUUAAGUCUGCUAACGAGCGCAACCCUCGCCGUAUGUUAUACGUGUCAUACGGGACUGCCGGUAAUAAGCCGGAGGAAGGUGGGGAUGAUGUCAAGUCAGCACGACCUUUAUAUCCAGGGCUACACACACGCUACAAUGGUCUGUACAAUGGGUAGCCAAGCCGCGAGGCGGAGCCAAUCCUGAAAGCAGGCCUCAGUUCAGAUUGCAGUCUGCAACCCGACUGCAUGAAGCCGGAGUUGCUAGUAACCGCAGGUCAGCAAUACUGCGGUGAUACGUUCCCGGGUCUUGUACACACCGCCCGUCACGUCAUGGAAGCUGGCAACGCCUGAAGUCGGUAUCCUAACCCUCACGGGAAGGAGCCGCCUAAGGCGGGGUCGGUGACUGGGACGAAGUCG
rnacentral:rRNA from 1 species